rnacentral:tRNA from 1 species
GCAGUGGUGGUUCACAGGUAGGAUCCUCGCCUUCCAUGUGGGAGACCCAGGUUCAAUUCCUGUCCAAUAUA